rnacentral:rRNA from 1 species
GACGUAGGGCGCGAGCGUUGUCCGGAUUUAUUGGGCGUAAAGAGCUCGUAGGCGGUUUGUCGCGUCGACUGUGAAAACUGGGGGCUUAACUCUCAGCUUGCAGUUGAUACGGGCAGACUUGAGUUCGGUAGGGGAGACUGGAAUUCCUGGUGUAGCGGUGAAAUGCGCAGAUAUCAGGAGGAACACCGGUGGCGAAGGCGGGUCUCUGGGCCGAUACUGACGCUGAGGAGCGAAAGCGUGGGGAGCGAACAGG